AGGGUGGUGGGAAGGCUGGGGAGAGGGGCGGAGUGCGGCGAGGUUUGCGGUUGCCAGGAGCCCGCUGCUCUCUGGCGGGGAGCGCCGCAGCGCGCUCUGUGCAGGGAAUCUGGGUGAGCGGGUCCCGCCAGCAACGUAUCCACGCUCCUUGGGGGCCUCGUAGCAGCACAAUAUUAAGAUGGAGGACUAUGAGAAGUUCUGUGAAAAGCAUCUUGCAAGGAUCCAAGGAGAGUCGAUUAAAAGGGAAACGUCUUCAUCUGCUCAGAAGAAUAUCUCACUUAUUAAAUUCCAUGGCAUUCCUGUGCUUUCACCUCUGAUGAGUCUUGAGAGAAAAAAGGAAAUGCAGCAGGAUAAACAAAAAGCACUUGAUGUAGAGAUCUGGAAACAGAAUUCCAGGAAAAGAGCUUUACUGAAUCGUGUUCAGGAGAUCCUGGAAAAUGUGCAGGUCAGAAAGGUGUCUAGUAUGAGCGAUUUGGAUCAGUGGGAGCCUGAGAGUGGUCACUCUAAUUCAGAAUCAAAAGCCUCAAAUGGCUUCACAAUGCUAUCAAACAUGAAUUUGCCAAGUUCUAUUGAAUGCUGUGGUACUACAGACCUUGAAAAAACAUUGGAAAUUAUGCCAGCAGAUACUGCUAUCCAGGUUACAUCAAGUGGAAUAGACUCAGUUAGAGGCACAGAAGAACAUAUUCCUCCUGAACAAAGUGAGAGCAACCUCUCAGAAAACAUUGCUUGCCCAAAGGUUACAUCCCCUGAUAAAACACAAAAUAUGACUACUUCAAAUGCACAUGUAAACCAAGAGCAUACGGAGGUGCCACCAGCUGGUGAGGAAGUACCUGAUCCAUAUGUAAUGAGUCUUCAAAACCUUCUGAAAAAGUCUAGGGAGUACAUAGAGAGAGAGCAAACCAGACGUAGCAUAAGAAGUAAUUCAAAAAGAAGUGUUAAUGAAAGUCAUUCAGAUAAAGAAAAUGAUGCAGUUAAAACAAAUGUGUCUGGGAAAGAGAGAGCGAGGUUUACAGGCAGGAGUUGUACUCCUCUGACACUUGAUAAACCAAGUCUUAAUAAAUCAAAUAUUCUUCUCCAAGGUGCCUCUGCCCAAAUAAAUAGCGUGAGUACAUCAGCUUCACCCAGUUUUUCUAAAGUGGAUAUACCUACCAGAGCUGGAACACCCCCAGUUUUGGAUUCGGAUUCAGAUGAAGAAUUUAAAAAUAUCUCUACCUUUGAUCACGAUAGUAGUAUUGUCAGAAGCCUUACAGGUUCUUAUGCCAAAUUGCCCAGCCCAGAGCCAAGUAUGAGCCCUAAAAUGCACCGAAGACGCCCAAGACCUUCAUCAAUGGGACACAUAGUUAUCAAUAACCCUGUGAAUGCCUAUGAAUUAAGCCCUAUAAACAAGGGAAGAGCAAUUGACUUGAUCAUACAAGAUGUCACUGACCAAACGAAUGCAUCUGAACCUGUGCCAAAAUUCACUGCUGACAUCACUGCAGUUUGUUCUAGCAAAGCUCAUGUCAACAAGAAUUCUUCAGAGACGUCAAAUCACAUGUGUCAGCAUUCCAUUAGUCAACUAGAGAGUAAAGGAAUGAUGGUGUCUUCCAUAAUGGAGGGAAAACUGGAUAGUAGAAGGCCAUUCAAAAUGGACAGUACUACUUGUACUGCAACUCCAAAAUUGCAUGAGUCGUUUGCAGUCAGUCAGUCGAUGGUGACUCAAAAGUUCGUAACUAUGAAUGGAAUCAAGCCAGAUCGUUUAUUAGAAAAGACCAAAAGUAAUUCACCCGUGGAACUCAAUAAAUCUUAUGAUGUAGAAAAUCCAUCUCCAUUACUGAUGCAAAGCCAGAAUAAGCAUCAGCAAAUGGAUACUCCAAAUGUUUCUUCUGGAAAUGAACAUUUUGUAGAAAAUGGUUUCGAAAAAGUGAAACGUAGGCUUGAUUUGGAUAUUGAUAGCUCACAGAAAGAGAACAACCCAUAUGUUUUAACAGAUGGAACAGAAGAACAAGAGAAGUGGAGGUUGCAAGAGCGAAGAUGCCCCAUAGGAUCUGUUUAUGGUAACAAGAAUGAAACCUCAGGCAGUAGUACCAACGAAGAAGAGAUUUUGAAAAAUAAACUCUUGGCUUUUGAAGAAAUGAGAAAGAGACUUGAAGAGCAGCAUGCACAACAACUAUCAGUACUGAUAGCUGAACAAGAGAGAGAACAGGAGAGAUUGCAGAAGACUUUUAAUCUGCAGGAGAUAGAAGAGCAGGAGAGAAGGUUAAAAGGAAAGAAGAGUGCUACAGCAGACCUAGAAAUACCCAAAAUGACCAUUAGCAGUGGGAUGGAACAGCAGUGGAGAAAAAUAAGCGAAAGUGGCUUGUUGGAAACAAUGCUGACUCAAGUGGAGACAAUCCAUAACACAAACUCGAACAGCACUGGUAAAAGUUUUGCCAACACUACCAUGCCCAGUAGUUUUGGUUCAACAAAUGAAGCUCCAUUCUACCUCUGGGGACCAUCUGGUAGUGGAAUGUCAAAAAUAUCAGCAUCCAGGCUUAUUAGGGCCAAAACCAGGUGGUCUCAGGCCACCAAUCCAGAGAUGCAAGUGAAGUUCAGUAAGAUCACUGCCUUGGUAAAGGGAUUUCUGACUCGUAGGCUCAUGCAAACAGAAAAAUUGAAAUAUCUUAGGCAAACUGUAAAAGAUACUAUGGAGUUCAUAAAAAAUUUUCAGUCUGAAGCUCCCUUAAAGAGAGGAACUGUUUCGGCGCAAGAUGCAUCCCUACAAGAAAGAGUGAUGGCUCAACUGCGAGCUGCGCUGUAUGACAUCCAUGAUAUAUUCUUUAUAAUGGAAGUAUCUGAAAGAAUGAAUAUUCUGCGUCAUGAUCGUGAAGUUCGCAAAGAGAAAAUGCUGAGGCAAAUGGCUAAAAUAAAGACUCCACGAGAGAGGGUGACACUUUCAACAGCUACACAGAAGUCUCUGGAUAGGAAGAAGUACAUGAAGGCUGCAGAAAUGGGAAUGCCAAAUAAAAAAUUAAUCAUAAAACAAAAUACUCCUGAAGCCAGAGUACUUCAGCCAAAUCAAGGACAAAAUACUCCAAUUCAUAGGCUUCUUUGCAGGCAAGGAACCCCUAAGACCUCAAUGAAGGGGGUUGAGCAAAAUAGAAAGAAGUCCUCAGAAAGCAGAGUGCCUAACAAGGCAACUUCAGUUAUAGGUGUUUUGGAGUAGCAGGAAAGCAAGGGGAACACUUACUGAGGAAGAAAAUGCUAUAAUGUAUAGUUAUUUACAAGCCUUUUUACAACUCGAAUAACCUGUUUUAUUCAUACAUUUUAAGGAGUAUAUGCAGGAAGAAUCCAAAGAAAGAAGCCAAAUGUUGUGACAAUUUAAGACGACAGCACUCGCUCGGAUAAAAAAAAGGCUAUUUUAAUGCAAUAGUCUCUUCAGCAUUGGUUCAGAUCUUGCAUCUCCUAUAUGUAUGCUGUGAAUUGACAAAUGUACACAUUUAACGUAUUUUGCAUAUUUUAAGGACAUACAGUAGGUUUUUAUGGAAUGAUGUUAAACUAAUGGAGAGGGCUACAAAUAAGUUCAGUUCUUAUACUCAUGAAAACAAAUUGCAUGUUACAAACCUGUUAGGUAUUCAGAUUACUGCAUACAUAUGUCCACAUUCAAAAUGCUCUGCUGUAGAGAAGAAUAUAGUGCAACAUUGUUUAUUUGUAUCUUUUUGCCAUCUCUGACUUAUUCUUGUAUAUGUCAUGCACUUUUUUGUACUAUUGGAAAUAUAUUUACAAUUGCAGUUCAUACACAUUAGUCUGUAUAACUGAUUUCCUAUAUGUGUACAUAUUUUAGCCUUUUACCCUAAAAUUAGAGAAGUAGAAAAGAUAAUUUAUUCAACUGUAACAAUACAGUGCGUUUUUCCUCUGUGUAUUUGUUUGAGAACAGCAUCGCUGAGUGUAUCAUUACAUAUGAGUGUGCUAACCUCUCAAUUUAAAUACUAAUGACUGAUAUUGUUACACUCAUUUCUAUUGACUGUUUGCAGACAUGGAUCUGAGUUAAUUGCUGGCAUAAAUGUGCAAUUCUAUUUACAUGAAUGAAGUCGCACCUGUUCUCACAGGUGGUGAAUUUAGGCCACUAUGAUGAAACAUUCCAGGCAAUUUUUCCUCCAUACUGUUCACUGCAUUUUCUAAUUCCAAACUACAUUUUGAUCAAGAUGAAGUAUAAUUAAGAUGUAGCAAUUCUAUGACACUGUACAAGAGUUCCAGAAGGAAAGACUUUAAUUGUCCUCAGCAAUCAAACAGAUGACUCGUUUCACACCAUUAUGUGUCUUAAGGUUUUAUUUUUGACAUUCCUAGAACUACUUUACUGUCUAAACAAGUAACUUGGAAUAGUUUUUUAUAAAAAAUAAUACUGUCAUCAGUAACAGAUCCAAGCACUGAAGCCAUGCUUCCAUGUUCUGAGUCCCUAAAACUUUGCAAGACUUAACCUCCAAAACACAUGCUCCUGUUUGCCCCUGUCGUUUUGGCUAUUUCAACCAUUAUGAAUAUGCUUCUUUAAAAAGAGGCUGCUUAGUAAUUUUAAUCUUGAUAAUGAGCUUCUUUGAAUCUUUCCUUGAUUUUCAAAUAAAAUAGAGAAAAUCUUGCCCCUGUGUAUAUUCAUCCUUAAAGGCAGGUAUUCAGUCAAUAGCAUACUUCUGUAUCCCCACAGCUUUAAGGGUGGUAGAGAGGAGGACUGUUUAAAUACGUACCCUUUAUUUUGUUUAAUGAAAAUGUCAAAUUUUACUGUUUCACUAGUAUAAAUUUGCUAUAACUCUUAACUUUGGUGCAGUUAAUCCAGGUGGACAUUGGUAUAACAGCAGACUUGACCCAAAAUAUUAUCAAUAUUCAUUAAAUAUCUCAGUAUAAAAAUUAAAUAGGUGGAAGGAAAAAUGCCUUAAUACAAAAAUGCAUGUAUGAAUGAACAGAACUUGUUUGGGGAUGGCCUUAAACCCACAAGUUAUGUUUUGCAUCUACAAAUCAGUACCUUAUCCUGUACCUUUUGUUGCAUUAUUAUAAAUGUUACUUAUCAUGCAGUAUUUUAAACUGAGCCAGACAUGUACUUGAAAAAGAGGCAAUACUAAUAUGAAGAAAUAUUUAGAGGAGUAACAGAGUACUCAGUGGUUGUGUACUGUGGUCUUAUUUGAAGGCUCUGAGGCAGAUCCUCAGCUGGUGUUAAUUUACACCAGCUGAAGACCUGCACCUCUCUGUUUAAACACUAUUAUUCUUUAGUUUCCCACCAUAAUACAAAGAUUUAUUAUGAUAAUCUGAACUUCUUGGAUUCCUAGUCAUUUUCAAAACUUUAUUUUUGUUCUUAAAUUUUGCAUUACUCUACUGUUAGUCUUUUAGAGGAAAACAUUUCAGGAAUAACAAAGUUAGAAUGACAAGUGAAAUGCAUCAUAUUUUAUUAAGAAUUCUAGAGUACCUUGCACGUGGCAAUGUUAGACUGACUUACUUCCUGUUGUAGGUUAGUGCUAAAAUUGAUUGUAGAUGUUUUCUGUACUGUUAAUUGGCAUUUGAGGCAAUACGUAAAAAGGAGGCUUAGUCUAAAUAUUUAAAAAAUGAAUGUUCAACUUUUGUUCAGGUUUCUUAACUAAACCUUUUUUACUUUAAGAAUGUUUCAAAGUUUGUGUACUAAAAUAUCAUCGCAAAAUUUUUUUAACUUUCAUAAGGCCUUCUUGACAAGUGCCAGAAUUUUUUUGUAAUUUGAUAUAUUUUGUAUUUAUUUAUACAUAUUUAAUUUUCAAUUCACUUUAUUUUUGUGGAAUGUAAUGUCAUUAUUAUGAAGUGUAUUUAUUUUUUGUACUUUAUUUCAUUUUCACCAGUCAUGCCCCUUUCGUUAAAUAUACUGCAAAAUAAACUUUUUUUAAUCUUUCAA